rnacentral:lncRNA from 1 species
GAGCAUUUAACAUGCAUCAUGGUCUCAGGUCAAGAGUAUAUUCAAUAGUUGACAGUGAUGUGGCCUCUAGCUUUCCAGAAAGAGGAAGUCACUGUCCAUCAUACAGUGCUUUAAUUUGAGAGGCUGAACUGAUGUCUGUGGAGAAAAGAACACGAAGGAAUAAUGUAAUAUGAAACUCCCUAACAUGAUACAUAUACAAAGACUAUUGAGAAAUCAAUGUGGAAAAUGCAAAACUAAGGGAGAAAGCAUUUUGAACCACUCAUCUAAGAAUAUGGUCAGUAUUAAAAAGACAAGAAUAUCAGAAAAAUCUCCCAAGUUAUGUUCAUAGGCUUAGCAGAAUAAAGGUAAGGCUUACUAGUUAAAUGAAUGAGAGAGGAGAAUUUUUUCUAAAUCUUAGAAAAUGUUCAGGCUCUCCCAUCUUUCUCCACACCCCUCAUGAGCAUCUCUGUAAAAACUGCCAUCAGGACCAAAGACAGCAGCUCUCAGUUUAACGUAGGUGCCAGUGACCAAACUACCGCUCAAGGAAAUAAGAGAGGAUACAAACAAAUGGAAAAACAUUCCAUGCUCAUGGAUAGGAAGAAUCAAUAUCGUGAAAAUGGCCAUACUGUCCAAAGUAAUUUAUAGAUUCAAUGCUAUUCCCAUAAAGCUACCAUUGACUUUCUUGAUAGAAUUAGAAAAAACCACUUUAAAUUUCAUAUGGAACCAAAAAAGAGCCUGUAUACCAAAGACAAUCCUAAGCAAAAAGAACAAAACAUCACGCUACCUGACUUCAAACUAUACUACAAGGCUACGGUAACCAAAACAGCACGGUACUGGUACCCAAACUGAUAUAUAGACCAAUGGGACAGAACAGAGGCCUCAGAAAUAACACCACACAUCUACAACCAUCUGAUCUUUGACAAACCUGACAAACACAAGCAAUGGGAAAAGAAUACCCUAUUUGAUAAAUGCUGUUGGGAAAACUGGUUAACCGUAUACAGAAAACUGAAACUGGACCCUUUCCUUACACCUUAUACAAAAAUUAACUCAAGAUGGAUUAAAGAUUUAAAUAUAAGACCUAAAAUCAUAAAAAUCCUUUGUAUCCCAAGUGCUCAGCACACAGUCUCUGACACUAAACAUUUGUUGAACUAAUUAAAUAGAGGAAAGAGAAUUAAAAUGCCAUGGUGAAAAAGAAGCAGCAUCUCUGCUGUCUACCCAACAGUGAUCUGUAUCUGUUUCUCACUUCUGCAUCUUAUGAAGUCAUAAAAUUAAAAGUUUUGGGAACCCUGUAUGAGAGUAAGGUAGGAAGAUAAAUAAGAAAAGUGUGAUCACAAAGUGUAAUCACUUUAUAUUACUGGUGCUUAACAGUUAGAAUUAACAUUCUCUUUUAUGCUAAUUGUGAUGUUUUCCAUUUUAUAUGUGUACAUAAUUUGUUUAGCUGUUUCUCAGAUUAUUGUACCAGUCUCUUAGCCAAGGGUCUUGCUUCUGGUCUCACCACUUCAUCAUUACACCUCCUCCUAAUUCAUUCUUUGCCUUACAGUUUGUUAUAUUUCAAAAGUGCAAAUUCUAUUACGUUACUUGCAUGAAUAAAACUCUUUAUUGGUUAACAAUUGGUCUCAGGAUACAGUGCUAGCUCCUUGGCAGAGCACCUGAGAGUCUCGUGAAAUCAUUUGUGAAAUAAAAAAUGCCAAAACAAAAAAGUUAAAGAAAAAGUGCCAAAACAAAAAAGCUAGAGAAAAUCUAGCCCUUGAUCAUAACAUGUUGCCAUUUUUUAACAAUAGCUUGACAAUGUUAUAACAGCUUAUGAAACAUUUUUUUCAAAAACAUGACCAAUAGCUUCAUACUCCAUCUAUCACCUUUACCAAAAUAUAACUGAAGUUUAUCCUUAAUUUUUUUCAUAAAGGGGAUUAUUUUACCUGAAUUCCUACUAGAUACAAAUUUAGUGAAAAUGUGUAUCAUAAGUUAGUGCAUUCAUAUUCAAUUCAGGCAUUGUCUCUUCUACAAGACCAGGCAGUUGAAGUCUGGGCUAUGUAUCCCUCCUCUUCAUAUCAUAGGGCCCUGCAACUAUUUAUAAUAAUACAUUUAUCUCAUUAUAUCAAAUUAUUGUUUUAGGUGUCUGCCCUCUAGUCCUAUGUGCAACUUAAGGAAAAGUGCAAAGAACUUUAUUUUCAAUCAUUCUCUAUGCUCUCAAAAUGUGCUGCUUGAUGGGAGACAUAACUAUGAUUAAGACAUUAUUCCUUACCUCAAAAAGUUAAAUCUUAAAUUGUGAGAGAGAGAAGAAGAAACUUAUAAUACUGUAUCAUGAGAGAGUAGGCUCUGAUGUUAGUGCUGCCGCUUCUAUAACACUGGGAAAAUUAAUUAAAUGUAGCUGAAAAUGCAAUGACAGUGAUAAUACCUACUUCAAAGAAUUGUUUUAAUGAUUAAAUGAUGAUGAUGAUGAUGAAAAGUUGUUCUUGCCUAUAGUAAGUGCUAAAUAAAUAUGACAAUCUGAACAAAGCUAUAAUAAAAUACUGGUGGUGUGUGCACAAACACUGACAAAACAAAUAAGGAGAGGUGCAUAGAUUUAUUAUAUUUUAACCUAAAACUUAACUGAGAAAGAUAUAAAGGUAUGAUACAUGUUCUAGUGAAUUGUGAAAUAAAUCAUUUUAUUUACCAAGAGAUGGUACUUGAUUAAGCCAAUGUGAACUGAAGCAAUGUAGGAAGAAAGUAAUGGAAGACUUCCCAAAGGAAAUGGUAUCUCGGUUGAGACAGGAAAGAUGAGUAAGCAUUAACUACACAAAGAGGGGCA